rnacentral:tRNA from 1 species
GCCCAGUUGGCUUAGUUGGUUAGAGCGCCGUGCUUAUAGUGGUUAAAACAUUAUGACAGAGUCACGCGGAUGUCGCCAGUUCGAUCCUGGCACUGGGCA